rnacentral:rRNA from 1 species
ACGCUCGACACCUACGGGAGGCAGCAGUUGGGAAUAUUGGACAAUGGAGGAAACUCUGAUCCAGUGACGCCGCGUGAAGGAAGAAGGUCUUCGGAUUGUAAACUUAUUUUGUCAGGGAAGAAAAAAUGACUGUACCUGAAGAAAAAGCACCGGCUAACUACGUGCCGGCACGCCGCGGUAAUCUGAGGCGGGCUGGCAAGGC